AUUAAAGACAUGCUCGCUUCUGAUGAGGAAGAAGAGCCGUCUAAAGUAGAAAAGGCUUAUGUCCCAAAGCUCACAGGGACAGUUAAAGGCAAAAACUAGAAAUGGAGAAACAGGAAUUUGAACAACUGAGACAAGAAAUGGGAAAGGAAGAAGAAGAAAAUGAAAGCUUUGGGUUGAGUAGAGAAUAUGAAGAAUUAAUUAAAUUAAAAAGGAGUGGUUCAAUUCAAGCCAAAAAUCUAAAAAGCAAGUUUG
rnacentral:lncRNA from 1 species